GAUGAACGCUGGCGGCGUGCCUAAUACAUGCAAGUCGAGCGAACAGACGAGGAGCUUGCUCCUCUGACGUUAGCGGCGGACGGGUGAGUAACACGUGGAUAACCUACCUAUAAGACUGGGAUAACUUCGGGAAACCGGAGCUAAUACCGGAUAAUAUAUUGAACCGCAUGGUUCAAUAGUGAAAGACGGUUUUGCUGUCACUUAUAGAUGGAUCCGCGCCUCAUUAGCUAGUUGGUAAGGUAACGGCUUACCAAGGCAACGAUGCGUAGCCGACCUGAGAGGGUGAUCGGCCACACUGGAACUGAGACACGGUCCAGACUCCUACGGGAGGCAGCAGUAGGGAAUCUUCCGCAAUGGGGGAAAGGCUGACGGAGCAACGCCGCGUGAGUGAUGAAGGUCUUCGGAUCGUAAAACGCUGUUAUUAGGGAAGAACAAAUGUGUAAGUAACUAUGCACGUCUUGACGGUACCUAAUCAGAAAGCCACGGCUAACUACGUG
rnacentral:rRNA from 1 species